rnacentral:pre_miRNA from 2 species
UUUUAUGGAUAAGGAAAGAAAGUAGUUUCUUGAGAUAGAAUCUUCUCUUAGUGAAGAUGCUGUGAA